GCUUAUUGUAACCCUCUCUUAAUUGGUCUUCCCAAAAGCCGUAUUGCCCCGCUACAGUCUGUAAUCGAAAUACUGCCGCCAGACUUAUUUGUCUCUCUAGUCAGUCCUCUCACACCUCACCCAUCUGUCAGUCCUUACAUUAGCUUCCUGUAUCCAACAGAAGUUAGUUCAAAGUACUAACCCGUACCUAUAAAGCAUUGAACAAUUCUCUUUUAUGAGAGAUCUGUCUAAACAUGUAGCGAUAUUUACUACCUUAAAG